rnacentral:rRNA from 1 species
UGGGAAUAUUGCGCAAUGGGCGGAAGCCUGACGCAGCAACGCCGCGUGCGGGAUGACGGCCUUCGGGUUGUAAACCGCUUUCAGCAGGGACGAAGCGUGAGUGACGGUACCUGCAGAAGAAGCACCGGCCAACUACGUGCCAGCAGCCGCGGUGAUACGUAGGGUGCGAGCGUUGUCCGGAAUUAUUGGGCGUAAAGAGCUCGUAGGUGGUUGAUCGCGUCGAAAGUGAAAUCUCAGGGCUUAAACCCUGAGCGUGCUUUCGAUACGGGUCGACUAGAGGAAAGGUAGGGGAGAAUGAAUUCCUGGUGGAGCGAUGGAAUGCGCAGAUAUCAGGAGGAACACCAGUGGCGAAGGCGGUUCUCUGGACCUUUCCUGACGCUGAGGAGCGAAAAGCGUGGGGAGCAAAACAGGCUUAGAUACCCUGGUAG